CCUCAGGUUGUUGCCAUGGAAAUGGAUGAGCGUCUCUCCAGCCUCCAGGACCGGAAAAUUAUGGACACUGUCAGUCCAGUGUCCAGCCGGCGCGGCCCCUGCGUGCAGCUCUGCUGGGCUCCUUUGUGGGUGAUGUGUCCGUGUGUAUACUGUCGGCAAAGCCAAGGCAGUAUAAGGAUGUGGGCAUGCGAGCGAUAGGCACUGGGAGUCGGACGAUUAUGUAUCAUCAUUGACCACUUUCACCCCAUGAGAGUCUGAGCCGCCAGUAAAUGUCAACUACGUGACCAUGGUAACUGUCACCGCUAUGCUUUUGAAUUAAAGUAAAGGAGGAAGCUCUAAGAAGCGCCGCAUUGGAACGCGGUGGAACGCAAAUACAACUUCCGGGUAAUACCGGAAGCGAGCGGACCGCACGCGUACAUAUGUAUGGAACACGGUGGAACGCAUCCAUCCGGAAACCGGAAGUGAUGUAAUGUGAAGUACGGCUCCGUUUUGCUUCUUUCAUUGGCUGGUUUGAAUCUGGGCGCCCAUUCUCAGGUGGGGUGGGGGUGGUCUUCAUAAUGUUUGUGGGUAUAAAAACCCAUUCAGUUUGUACUCCACCAUGCUUCUGAUGAAGGACUUCUAAGUCCGAAACGCGUAAAGCAGGUGGAUUUCUUUGGACUCUGGACUUUUGGACUUACCUCUGGAAACAUCUUGGGAACGGUGAUAUCUUCCUUUGACGGUUGGACCGGCUGGUUCCGAAUCUAUCUGUCGUGAGAAUCAUCUUACCCUAUUGAGGAGGUUCUAUAUGCUUUGUUAUGUUUUAUUUAAUGUGAGUGCAAUUCUGUAAUAAAUUCAGUUUUAGUUUUUAACCAA